GCCCUCGUAGCUCAAUGGUCAGAGCUCCUACCCCGUAAGUAGGUGAUCCCGGUUCGAUUCCGGGAGAGGGCU
rnacentral:tRNA from 1 species